rnacentral:lncRNA from 1 species
GAGUGAGCGUUGAACUCGUUCCGUGAGUAGCGGGACAGCAAGUUCGAUUUCCCAACUGCCGAGUCGCCGAUUAUGACGAUCUUGAACAGGUACUCCUCCUCCCCAGACCCCUCCUCGUCUGAAGACGACAUGUCGUUUGCUUUCUGGGUUUUUCUUGCUUCUUCUCCUCUGCUUUGUUUGCUUCCUGGGUUUCUUGGUUGAAGUUAAUUCAGCAGAGGAAUUUUAGCACGCAGUGAAGAAUGGAAAGAAUGGGAGGGAGGAAGCGAGUUUUGACAGAAAAUGGUAGACUGUCAAAUUUUGGAGGAGAGAGAAACUGAAAGAGAGAGAGGAAGGAUGGCGCAUGUGCGCUGCGCUGCCAGACGGACAUACCGCGC